rnacentral:lncRNA from 1 species
GCCAACAUAUAUAUUCAAACUAAACAGAAACAGUUUCAGACAGGUUACAACAACAUCAUGACCCAGAAGCCUGGAACAUCAUGAGCUGAUGAUGUUCACCAACGACCACCGCCGCCGCCUCCAGGCCCACCACCACCGCCGCCGCCAGGUCCACCACCACCACCGCCGCCACGUCCACCGCCGCCCCAUCCCCCACCGCCACCAGGUCCGCCCCCAGGUCCACCGCCGCCCCAUCCACCGCCGCCACCAGGUCCACCACCGCCACCAGGUCCACCACCGCCACCAGGUCCUCCGCCGAACAUUGGCCCACAGCAGCCCUCAAGCAGGCAGCAGCAGCACAGGAAAUAAGCACUGCAGUAGUAGUACACACCAAGAUGAUAUAAGUAAGAAAAAAAUUGAAAACAAUGAUAUAAGCAGCUAGCUGAUGAAGCUACAUUUUGGAUAAUUUCACGGAUAAUACUUAUAUUAUCCUGACUAGUCAGACAUGAUUUUACUCGUAAAUAAACAAUUUCUGAGUUUUACUAAACUCACCAAG